rnacentral:rRNA from 1 species
UAAACACGUAAACAACCUGCCUUAAGGAUGGGGAUAACAGACGGAAACGACUGCUAAUACCGAAUACGUUCUAAGCAUCGCAUGGUGCAUAGAAGAAAGGGUGGCCUCUACAAGAAAGCUAUCGCCUUAAGAGGGGUUUGCGACUGAUUAGGUAGUUGGUGAGGUAACGGCUCACCAAGCCGACGAUCAGUAGCCGGUCUGAGAGGAUGAACGGCCACACUGGAACCGAGACACGGUCCAA